UACGAAGGGGGCUAGAGCGUUGUUCGGAAUUACUGGGCGUAAAGCGCGCGCAGGCGGUCCUUUAAGUCAGGGGUGAAAGCCCAGAGCUCAACUCUGGAACGGCCUUUGAAACUAGAGGACUUGGGUACGGGAGAGGUGAGUGGAAUUCCGAGUGUAGAGGUGAAAUUCGUAGAUAUUCGGAAAGAACACCAGUGGCGAAGGCGGCUCACUGGCCCGUUAC
rnacentral:rRNA from 1 species